CUCUCGUCCUCCCUUUCUCUUCCUUUCUUCUCUCCUUCCCCCUUCUUCUCCCUCCCUCCCUCCCUCCCUCCCUCCCUUCCUUCCUUCCUUCCUUCCUUCCUUCUUUUUCAAACAGAACACAGGCAAACUCAGGCCACUUUCUACACGUUGUUGUCUUCUCAGACGGAACCUCAACGUAGGUGCAUUGGGUGAUGGAGUCUUCCAGGCAUGGUACCAGCAUGGAAAGAGAGACAAAAAGACAGUAAAAAUAGAUAGGAAGGAAGGAGAAAGGAGGGAGGAAUGGAGAGGAGGAUGGAAGGGAGAGGAGGAAGGGAAGAGAAAGAGGAAGGAAGGGAGGACAGGGAGAA
rnacentral:sRNA from 1 species